GCUCCCUCUGAAAGAAACAGAAACCUCAGCUGCUCGAGGGCAGAGCAUGACCCUUAAGAAAACAAGGUCACAGAGCAUUUCAACUGCCUGCUGGAGAGCACUCUCCCCUCUGUGCUCCUGUAAAUCCUUCUCCCAUUAAUGGGAGAAACAUCAAUAAGCACUUACAAAUGCAAUCAUUGUGAGAAGAGCUGGCAUGAAGUCCUGCUCCCAAAUCACUCCAUGCGCAACAGGUCAAGAGGCUGCAGAAACACCCUCAGGAAUUCUUUUCCUUUGCCAAGAAGAUGAGCCACAAAAACCUAGUUGGGUUUCCUUCAAACUCAGCAGCACCUUUCCCCUCACACUAACAGGGAACUAGUCAAGCGCUGCCCAUCACAGGCACCGACUGAGCGCAGGGGAGGAAUAAGCCCCAAAACACUGGGGUUUAGUCUCGCUUUGACACAGUCCCUGUCCUACCACCCCGUAUCGGUCUGAACCCUAGAGUUAAUCACUUCACGCUUGGCCAGGGAGCCUCACGCCUCCACAGGGGUGCAAAGGGAGCUGCACGCAAUUGAGAAUUGCACUCUGAGCUAUUCCCUCUUCGUUUGCUUCCUUAGCUUGCUAGGUAAUUUGUGUCCAGAAGAAGGAAGGUAGUUCACCGUGCUGCUGCUUUAUUUCAAGUUGCUCCAUUGUUUUUCAUCAAACACCACUACUUCUCCACCCCCCACCACCCUUCUUUUGGGAAGAUAAGGAAUAGUAGUUUCUGGGGGGGUCGUCAUCCAGUUGCACCUCUACGUCCAGUGCAAAACAACCACAAGGACACACGCUGAUGUGGGCUUUGCCUGCAAUUGCCGAUCAUCAGACAGCCUUGUGACUGAGUGUUUGCAAAGCCCUAGGAAAGGACAGGAGUUUCCUGGAGGACCAUCUUCCCUUUCUCCUGUUGAACAAGGUUGUGAAGAGCUCUGACUUACUGCCCUGUCUGAUUUGUGUCAGGCCUCCUGGACUCAGAUAUUGCUGGAUUUCUCCCCUGAGACUGAGCUGCUCCAAUGACAUCAUCUCUCCACCUGGCUUUCAGAAAAGCGUUGUUAUUUUUGCAGAAAGCAGAAUUACCAAACCCACCUCCAAUCAAUAUAGCCAAAGGUAACCACUCCCCACCUCCCCACACCAUGCUGUGCAUGCACAAAGCCUUCCUGGGUAAACUGUGCUGACGCACUGGUUGGGCUAAUGCACUUUGGUUGGAAAACAGUUCUGUUAGCAGCUGCACCAGCAGGGCUAGCAUCAAAAUAUCCUCUGGGGGUUGGUUUGGGUUUUUUUGUUUGUUUGUUUUAAAGCUUUGGGUUAUUUUCUUAAAUCCUAAUCCGAUUCUAAACAGAGGAGUGAUUCAUUUCUCCCUGUUUAAUUUUGCCUCGGCUUACCAUUUUCUGUUUUAAACUAGAGGACAACUCUUGGUUUGGUCGUGACAUAGAAGGAACGUAUGAGCUUGGCACUGUGAAAACUAACAGAGCUGUCUGUACCUGAUUGAGCCUCAAGGGAGAUUCCGUGCA